UACGUAGGGGGCGAGCGUUGUCCGGAAUUAUUGGGCGUAAAGAGCGUGUAGGCGGUUCGGUAAGUCUGCCGUGAAAACCUGGGGCUCAACCCCGGGCGUGCGGUGGAUACUGCCGGGCUAGAGGGUGGUAGAGGCGAGUGGAAUUCCCGGUGUAGCGGUGAAAUGCGUAGAUAUCUGGAGGAACACCGGUGGCGAAGGCGGCAUCCUGGACCGACACUGACGCUGAGGAGCGAAAGCCAGGGGAGCAAACGGG
rnacentral:rRNA from 1 species